GAUCUGACGGUUUUAUAAAGAGUUCCUCCCUACACAAGUGCUCUCUUGCCUGCCACCAGAUGACUUUGCUCCUCAUUCACCUUCAGCCGUGAUUGUGAGGCCUCCCCAGCCAUGUGGAACUGGCUACAUCUCUCAGCCACAUGGAAGAAUGUAACCAGUAGAGACAUCCUGGCCACUUUCGCUAGUUUCCUGGAGUUAUGAGCCUAUAAGAAAGCUAAGUGUUGAAAGACCAUAUGACUUCUUCAAGAGAAUCUUCGAGCAGAAAGUUUGACAACAGCAACGAUGGAGCUGGCUGGAUAUCUAAGACUGAAACUUACGGAAGGAAGAUCUAUAAAUUCUCAAGCAAGGAACCAAAAAAGCUUCUAUGUUCUGAAAGAACGUUUUAUUUCUUAUAGCUGCAGAGCUAAGAUUUCUGAGAGCCAAAUCUAAAAUUGGAUCCUAUGGGUGACUGGAUAACAAUGAAAGCUGAACUCACAGUGAGCCUUGUCAAGCCUCUUUCGUAAAAGUUAAAGUGUUGCCUGGAAAAGAAUGGGGACAUGAAAAUUGGAACAGAGCACUUGGGGAGAUUCUAAAGGGGAGGACAGGCCAUUAUUCUUGAGUGGCAGUUGCAGGCAGAUGCUGACCAGAUGGUGGAUACGAGGCACACAGCAGUGUCUGUGUCCAGCAAGGUCUUGAGGACAAGCUACUUCAGUGCUGCUGGCUGAGAUUGUAGGUAGUGUGCUUCUUGACCUGCCCUUUCCCUAUCCCAUUGGAUAGGGAUGAAACCUUGAAUCCUCUGUAUUGAAAUACAAAGAACAACUUCCAUUUGCCUGAAUGAACACUGACCAGUACAAGACUAAACAUCAGUUACCCAAACAAUUAGGAAAUUUGUUAAUAUGAGACACUCACUUCUGAGCAAUGUUAAGCAAAAGGGUCAUAUAGACAUGAAAAGUAGGUGAUGUCCCUAAACGAAGUAGGAGUGAGUGGAUAUUAGCGAGUGCUUCCAGCCAUGUGCACUAUAAAUCAUAUGAUAGGGUUCAUUCGUAUGUGUUUAGUGGACAGAUACUGAGGAAAGAAAUUCUGUCUGAAUUAUGAACUUUUGGGUUUUCUUAUAGACCAAGUUCUUGUCCUAAUGCCUGGCACACCCGAGUGCUCAAUAAAUGUUUAUUUAGCAUUUGGAUUUGCCUGGGCAGGAUGAAUCCCUCCCUGUCCAGUUACUAUUCACAACUUAAUAGUCAAUAGUUAAUAUUAUCAACAGUAGUCAAAAAUGUAUCAUUAUCACACUAAAAGUCUCAAAGUCCCCCUGUCUCACAAAGGCUUUCAGGCUGGGUCAUAAAUGUGUUUAUCUUAUUCAGUGUAAAGCAAUUCAACUUCCACUUCCUGUGUGCAAGUGUGCACGUUUCUAAACAAGAGAAUUUUAAAACUUAGAUGUGUUCAGUUACAACUUGUUUACCAAAAUGUAUGUGAAUGUAAUUUGGAACAAGAAGAACAGCCUCUUUCUACUGUCAAGAUUAUUUUUGUUUUAAACAUGAUAUGUCGUGAUUUCAAGCUAAGUAGUUGUAUCAGGGAGGCAUACUUUUUUAUAAAAUUGAGUUUCAUAUACUAAAAUCUAGUACUCCCAUCUUAAAGUUUUAUGGACUAUUUUAAAAUUACAUUUAUAAGACUGCUAUAUGAAAAAUGUCAGUGGCAUAUUUUGGGUACUAAAUUUAUUUUACACACACAAAGCCUCUCCUGGUGGCAUCUUUCUUCAUCUAGUAGACAAUAUCUAGGAGGAUUUUUGCUGCUAUUAAAGUUCAAGAAAGAAUAUAGGCCGGGCGUGGUGGCUCACACCUGUAAUCCCAGCACUUUGGGAGUCCGAGGGGGGCGGAUCACCUGAGGUCAGGAGUUCAAGAUCAGCCUGGCCAACAUGUCAAAACCUUAUCUCUACAAAAAUACAAAAAUUAGUUGGGCAUGAUGGUGGGUGCCUGUAAUCCCAGCUACUUGGGAGGCUGAGGCAGGAUAAUCUCUUGAACCUGGGAGGCGGAGGUUGUAGUGAGCUGAGAUUACACCACUGCACUCCAGCCUGGGCAACAGAGCAAGACCCCAUCUCAAAAAAAAAAACAAGAAUAUAUAAGAGAAAUACCAUACCAAUCAACAUUUCUAGAUACACAAAUAUAAACAUCUUAUAGAAACUAGCAAAAUUAUGAACUUAUGAACUACUAGCCAAUAGAGCACUUAGACAAAGUCCUACAA